rnacentral:tRNA from 2 species
UCCGGGAUCGUCUAAUGGUAGGACAACGGACUCUGAAUCCGUUUAUCUUGGUUCGAAUCCAAGUCCCGGAG